rnacentral:rRNA from 1 species
GAUGAACGCUGGCGGCGUGCCUAAUACAUGCAAGUCGAGCGAACAGACGAGGAGCUUGCUCCUCUGACGUUAGCGGCGGACGGGUGAGUAACACGUGGAUAACCUACCUAUAAGACUGGGAUAACUUCGGGAAACCGGAGCUAAUACCGGAUAAUAUAUUGAACCGCAUGGUUUAAUAGUGAAAGACGGUUUUGCUGUCACUUAUAGAUGGAUCCGCGCCGCAUUAGCUAGUUGGUAAGGUAACGGCUUACCAAUGCAACGAUGGGUAGCCGACCUGAUAGUGUUGGCUGCAACACGGGAACUGAGACACGGUCAAGACUCAUACGGGAGGCAGCAUAAGUGUAUCUUCCGCAAUGGGCGAAAGCCUUAUGUAGCAACGCCGCGUGAUUGAUGAAGGUCUGCGGAUCGUAAAACUCUGUUAUUAGGGAAGAACAAAUGUGUAAGUAACUAAGCACGUCUUGACGGUACCUAAUCAGAAAGCCACGGCUAACUACGUG